UACGUAGGGCGCAAGCGUUGUCCGGAAUUAUUGGGCGUAAAGAGCUCGUAGGCGGCUUGUCACGUCGGCUGUGAAAACCCGGGGCUCAACCCCGGGCCUGCAGUCGAUACGGGCAGACUAGAGUGCGGUAGGGGAGACUGGAAUUCCUGGUGUAGCGGUGAAAUGCGCAGAUAUCAGGAGGAACACCGGUGGCGAAGGCGGGUCUCUGGGCCGUUACUGACGCUGAGGAGCGAAAGCGUGGGGAGCGAACAGG
rnacentral:rRNA from 1 species